rnacentral:rRNA from 1 species
CCUACGGGAGUCAGCAGUGAGGAAUAUUGGUCAAUGGACGAGAGUCUGACCCAGCCAAGUAGCGUGAAGUCUGACUGCCCUAUGGGUUGUAAACUUCUUUUAUCUGGGAAUAAAAUGUUCCACGUGUGGGAUUUUGUAUGUACCAUAUGAAUAAGGAUCGGCUAACUCCGUGCCAGCAGCCCCGGUAAUACGGAGGAUCCGAGCGUUAUCCGGAUGUAUUGGGUUUAAAGGGAGCGUAGGUGGUUUGUUAAUUCAGUUGUGAAAGUUUGCGGCUCAACCGUAUAAUUGCAGUUGAAACUGGCAGUCUUGAGGACAGUAGAGGUGGGCGGAAUUCGUGGUGUAGCGGUGAAAUGCUUAGAUAUCACGAAGAACUCCGAGUGCGAAGGCAGUUCACUGGACUGCAACUGACACUGAGGCUCGAAAGUGUGGGUAUCAAACAGGAUUAGAUACCCUUGUAGUC